GACGAAGGUGGCAAGCGUUGUUCGGAAUUACUGGGCUUAAAGAGCAUGUAGGCGGCUUGUCAAGCGGUGUGUGAAAUCCCUCGGCUCAACCGAGGAAUUGCACAGCGAACUGGCAGGCUUGAGGCAAGUAGGGGCGUGUGGAACUCUUGGUGGAGCGGUGGAAUGCGUAGAUAUCAAGAGGAACGCCGGUGGCGAAGGCGACACGCUGGGCUUGUCCUGACGCUGAGAUGCGAAAGCCAGGGGAGCGAACGGGAUUAGAUACCCCAGUA
rnacentral:rRNA from 1 species